CCCUCUCCCACCUCCCUCUCUCUCAGGUAUCUGUUUCCUGUCCGGAGGUCAGAGUGAGGAGGAGGCCUCUGUUAACCUCAAUGCCAUUAACCUGUGCCCCCUGCGGAAAUCCUGGAAACUGAGCUUUUCCUUUGGCCGGGCCCUGCAGGCUUCGGCCCUCAUCGCCUGGUCUGGCAAAGAGGACAACGCAGAGUUGGCGCAAGAGGCCUAUGCCAAGAGAGCCAAGAUUAACGGCUUGGCGUCUAAAGGCGAAUAUACCCCAUCAGGAGAUACCAAUAUCGCUGCUAACUACUCACUCUACACUGAGAACUACAGUUACUGAUGGCCCAGCGUGGGAACUUCGUGGCCUUUCCUGCAUCUCACCUUUGUCCCCUACCCAGUGAUGAUAGACCCCACCCCUCCCUCUUUCUCUGCCCUCAAUGGCAGUGGGUGAACCCUGGGGUGUUAAAUUUCCCACCAAUCAGCCCCCUCCCCGAUGCUCAUCCCUCAUCCUGAUCCCCUGCUACCCCUCGACAUGUCUCAGGGUCGGGACCACCAGAGUUUCCCCCCACCCCACCCCACCCUCCACCUUGUGCAUAUGAGUUCAGACCCCGAAACCCCCCCACCUCCUUUGUUCUUUUGUCCUUCAAGAGGAAUCAGAUAGUUGCUGGAGAUCUAAUUGACAAAUAAGGCAAAUGAUAAAACUGCAUGCCUCUG